UGCCAGCAGCCGCGGUAAUACGGAGGGUGCGAGCGUUAAUCGGAAUUACUGGGUGUAAAGCGCACGCAGGCGGAUAUUUAAGUCAGGGGUGAAAUCCCGGGGCUCAACCCCGGAACUGCCUUUGAUACUGGGUAUCUUGAGUUCGGAGGAGGUAAGUGGAAUUGCGAGUGUAGAGGUGAAAUUCGUAGAUAUUCGCAGGAACACCAGUGGCGAAGGCGGCUUACUGGUCCGAUACUGACGCUGAGGUGCGAAAGCGUGGGGAGCAAACAGGAUUAGAUA
rnacentral:rRNA from 1 species